CCGAGUGUCCCCCUGCUCUUAAACGCUGCAGCGAGCCGCACCGCGGCGUAAAGGCGUUUUCUAACGGUGUUGUCUCUCCUCUCCCGCCCGCCACGAAUGUGCGUUCUGCAGAGUCCACAGAGGAAUGAAAGACUCUAGCAAAAAGAACAACAUUUUUGCUCAGUUCAGGAAGAACGAUCGUGACAAGCAGAAGCUAAUAGAGACUGUAGUAAAGCAACUUAGGAGUUUAGUGAAUGGUAUGUCCCAGCACACAUAGGCCUGCUAAAUCAUCACCUGUCUCAUCAUGCCAAGAGGUAUUUCUUAGCCACUGUUUCUACUAAGCAAACAGCGAUAUCAGUUAGGAUGUUUGUUUGGCCGAGUAAAGGAAAAAUGCAGUAGAUGGCUUGUACACAGAGUCUUCAGCAAACAAUUCUUUGUACGUAUUUUUAAUGGAUCGAAUACUAUUUUGUAUAUUGUAAACAAAUGGUGAAAAAUGAGACUGUACAAUAAAAACCAGCUCACUCGUAUUGUACAUGGAACAACUGAACUGUAAAUACAUUAUUUAAAUAUCUGCAGACAUGGUGUCCAAAAUUCUGCUCUGGGUAAGAAUUAUUUGAGAAAUGAUCCCUUAGUUGCUGUUUUCUGGAUUAAUCCUAAUUUAAUAGGUUUUUUUAAGCAUUGAGAUACUUGCGUUUCAGAUGCCGCCUAUCGUUUUCCUGCAUUAAAUGUAUAUUAGCCUUAAAGUGAUUGGACAUAAUUUUGUAUACCAGAUUUUAUAGUCUGGAGGUAUGAAGAAAUCUUCUGAUUUUUAGUACCUUUGAAAACUACCUGAGAACUAGACUUGAUAUUUAUUUAGCAUUAGGGCUUAUAGGCUUUGUUCUCCAAAAGGGUUUAAUCUUGAGGUUGUGAAUGUAAAUAACCAUUUGGGUUCUUUAUAAUGUGACGUUUUGUUUUGUUCCUCAGGGUUACUAUUUCUAACUGUACUUUUGUAAGAUCCCGGGUUCUUUUCCCCAGGUUGCAGUAAGGAAUAGAUUUGCCGCUGUUGGUUUUGUGCCGCAUCUGUUUGUCAGUAUGCGCUUUCCACCGCCAGACCUGUCCCAGCGAUUAGCGUUUCGUCCCACCGCCGGUCUCUUUGCACUGUCCCUUCCUGGCUAGUUUAGACACAAAGAGAAUGUCUAACAAGUACAAACCAAAUGGAACAUGUAAAAAUAAUGUACAUUUUCGCUGUAUUUUUAAGUUAUUGACGGUCUAAAUACAGUAAUAUAAACCUC